rnacentral:rRNA from 1 species
UUCGGGUCUCUAGUGGCGAACGGGUGAGUAACACGUAGGGAACCUGCCCGCGCACCGGGAAUACGCUCUGGAAACGGAGAACAAAUCCCGAUGUACAGGAAGGAGGCAUCUUCUUUCUGUGAAACAUCCUUUAGGGGAUGGGGCGCGGAUGGACCUGCGGUGCAUUAGUUUGUUGGCGGGGUAAAGGCCCACCAAGACGAUGAUGCAUAGCCGGCCUGAGAGGGCGGACGGCCACAUUGGGACUGAGACACGGCCCAGACUCCUGCGGGAGGCAGCAGUAGGGAGUUUUCGUCAAUGGGCGCAAGCCUGAACGAGCGAUGCCGCGUGAGUGAAGAAGGCCUUCGGGUCGUAAAGCUCUGUUGCGGGGGAAAAAAGGCAGCAUCAGGAAAUGGGUGCUGACUGAUGGUGCCCCGCCAGAAAGUCACGGCUAACUACGUGCCAGCAGCCGCGGUAAUACGUAGGUGGCGAGCGUUAUCCGGAAUGAUUGGGCGUAAAGGGUGCGCAGGCGGUCCUGCAAGUCUGGAGUGAAACGCAUGAGCUCAACUCAUGCAUGGCUUUGGAAACUGGAGGACUGGAGAGCAGGAGAGGGCGGUGGAACUCCAUGUGUAGCGGUAAAAUGCGUAGAUAUAUGGAAGAACACCAGUGGCGAAGGCGGCCGCCUGGCCUGUUGCUGACGCUGAGGCACGAAAGCGUGGGGAGCAAAUAGGAUUAGAUACCCUAGUAGUCCACGCCGUANACGAUGAGGACCAAGUGUUGGGGG